AUUUUCAUCUAGUUCCUCUAGGGCAAUUUCAUUUCACGCUUGUGUUUAAAAUACCUUUCCGCCAUUUUGUUUGUUUUGGGAAAAUCAUUAAUUGUACUGCAGUACAAUUAAUGAAAUAAUUGUACUCAUCUCAACCAACCAGCAUCCAGUAAUUUUGUCAUGCUAAUAAUAAAUGCAAUAAUAACAUCUCUAAUAUCGUAGAAGUAAUGGUAGAACUGGAGGGUGCUUCCUUGGCAUUUCUGGCAGUUUCUGGGCACACUUUAUACUAGCGGUAUCAAGAAUUUUAUACCAAGAAUUUUGAAUCAAGAAUUUUACAACAAGAAUUUUAGACCAAGAAUUUUGAUAUCAAAAAUUUUUGUCUUAUAUUAAAACGGCACUUUUGCCCGCAUUUAAUUGCUUCCUUAUACGAAAGGGCAGGAGGUGCUACUUUGUCCCCACUCCCCCACCCC